rnacentral:misc_RNA from 1 species
AACGAGGCCGACCUGCGGCUGAGUUACCUGCGGAAGGAUCAUUACCGAGUGAGGGCCCUCCGGGUCCAACCUCCCACCCGUGUUUAACGAACCUUGUUGCUUCGGCGGGCCCGCCUCACGGCCGCCGGGGGGCACCCCGCCCCCGGGCCCGCGCCCGCCGAAGACACCUGUGAACGCUGUCUGAAGUUGCAGUCUGAGACACUAGCUCAAUCAGUUAAAACUUUCAGCAAUGGAUCUCAG